GCGGAGUAAAAGAAACCAACCGGGAUUGCCUUAGUAACGGCGAGUGAAGCGGCAAAAGCUCAAAUUUGAAAUCUGGUACCUUUGGUGCCCGAGUUGUAAUUUGGAGAGGGCAACUUUGGGACCGUUCCUUGUCUAUGUUCCUUGGAACAGGACGUCAUAGAGGGUGAGAAUCCCGUGUGGCGAGGAGUGCGGUUCUAUGUAAAGUGCCUUCGAAGAGUCGAGUUGUUUGGGAAUGCAGCUCUAAGUGGGUGGUAAAUUCCAUCUAAAGCUAAAUAUUGGCGAGAGACCGAUAGCGAACAAGUACAGUGAUGGAAAGAUGAAAAGAACUUUGAAAAGAGAGUGAAAAAGUACGUGAAAUUGUUGAAAGGGAAGGGCAUUUGAUCAGACAUGGUGUUUUGCGCCCUCUGCUCCUUGUGGGUGGGGGAAUCUCGCAGUUCACUGGGCCAGCAUCAGUUUUGGUGGCAGGAUAAAUCCGUAGGAAUGUAACUUGCUUCGGGAAGUAUUAUAGCCUAUGGGAAUACUGCCAGCUGGGACUGAGGACUGCGACGUAAGUCAAGGAUGCUGGCAUAAUGGUUAUAUGCCGCCCGUCUUGAAACACGGACCAAGGAGUCUAACGUC
rnacentral:rRNA from 1 species